UUUUUCUUUUCUUUUCUUUUUUUUUUUUGCCAGUGUCACUUCUUCUGUGUGUUUUCAACACCACCACUUUCUUCAUCUGUCAAUUUCACCUUAACUAAGUUCCUUGGGUUCCAUAUUAGUGUCUCUCAAAGGGUGGUGGUGUCCAGAUUUCCACGGUCAGCUAAUUCUUCUAUAACUUUGUUUACAUCAGACUCAUAUUUAACUUCCACCAUUGUCACUUUUCAUUUCUUUGCUGCAUUUUUAUCAUUGUUGACCAAUUUCCUGUUUUGAUCACCCAUUUUUAAAAAAUGCCACGUAGGGUUAUCACUGGCAGAGAAGGAGGCAACCUGGUGCUGUCUGUGCCUGAACUGAAUAACAGAGGGGCACUAACCCAGUCUGACCAAUCACAGGCCGACUGAGAAAACAAGGAUAUGACUGGUCACUGAUCAUGAUGUGCAUCUGUCAUUCCCACAGUGAUCUGUGGACUGAAUUGCUAGCAGUGAAGUUUGUGCAAUUACUCAAUUAAUAUACUGAGAUAACUGAAAUUUGAACUGUGUUGUUGGGAGAUGGAUAUUAUUUAACUCAUGGUAACAAAAACGCAUGCAUUGAGGACCCAUGCAAAAUGUGAACGGUCUAUAUGGACAUACUUGACAAACAUUUUUUACAAAAUUGAGAUCAUGAAUAUAUAAUUUUGUACUUGCUCUUUUAACUUAGCCUUAUAUCAUAAAGUUGUAUCCCUGUUAUUACUAGUCUCCAAUAAUGCUGUAGCAUAAUUUAUGUGACUGGGGAAACACCAAGAGAACAGUAAAAUGAGAGCCAUAGAUUGGUAAAGAGGGAGGUGCUCCCUAGUAAGAAGCAACAUAGGGAAAGCCCAGGGAUCGGCCAGUGUAUGUGGGUAAGUUGGGAAGAAGGAGAAAACUAAUAUGGCUGGAAUAUAGGAUCUAUCUUAGAAAUAAAAUGACAAUAAUACAAAAAGUCCAUUUUCCCACACUUUAGUAAUAACAGUAAUACUAUUACUAUUACCAAUAGCAUGCUUACUAUAUUCCAGGUACUCUCAGACAUUAUCUCACUUAAUCUUCACAUUGACCUUGUUUGCUGUCAUCUCCUUCUCACACAUGAGGACCCUGAGGCUCAACACAGAUGUUGUAGUAAGCCUGUAAUAAAACCCUGGUUUCUGUAAUCCUGCCCUUGGCUGCUCCACAAUACUGCCCAAUGAAAGCACUUAUCAGCUUACAAAGUCCUUUUGCAUAUAUUGACACGAGGCAUGCAACUGGGUAAGUUGUGCCAGCUGCUGAGGUGUGGGGCUGUAAUCAAGCCUAUGCUGCUAGCCUAACCCGAGCCAUAAGACCACAUACUUCCAGAAGGGCUGCCUUUACCUAAUUUACACAAAGACGCAGUAUGGACUGGCCUUGGCCCUGGUCAACAUGACAGAUUCUCACCACAGCCCUCAGAGGUGACAGAGAAGUUAUGAUUGCUCCAAUUUUAUACUAAAACAAAACAAAACAAAACAAAAUGAACCAAAAAACCCCCCACAGCAGCUCCCAUUGGGUCAGUGAUUUAUCUAAGCUGAGAAUGAAUUGGUGAGAUAAAGAUGCAGUUGAGGAAGAUAUUAGAAUCCAGGCUGAGCAGGUUUCAUCUGAAGCAAAAUGCAACAGGGUACUGCGAGGUAUAUAUAAAUCAGGCUACACAUAAACUACCACAGAGUA
rnacentral:lncRNA from 1 species